rnacentral:tRNA from 1 species
UCCCCUGUAACUCAGCGGCAGAGUGCGAAGCUGUUAACUUCGAGGUCCCUGGUUCGAAUCCAGGUGGGGGAGC